rnacentral:lncRNA from 1 species
CGUCCUCUUACUGACAUAAUUCACUAACAUGCUUUUGAAGAGGAGUCCCCAACAUGGCUGCCAACAUUGGUUGGUUUUUUUCCUUUCUCUUGGUGGGAUGUGGGACAUUGUUAGAGAUAAAAAUCUCUAGGACAAAAUGUUUCAAAGUUUAUCUCUUGGGAUCCUUUUACAACUGUCCACACUGUGAACAUUAUUAAAGACUCGAAAUAGCUUUUGUUUAUAUGGAUCGGGUCUAGUGAUCCAAACAUGACACUGAGGAACACAACUGUUUUAAAAUUCAUUACAAAACAACAAGAGAAACUGCACGUUUUUAAAUGAAAAGGAACUAUUUUCCAUAUCGAGAAAUAAGAGAUCAAGAAUUGAGUCUGUUUCUUAAUCUGGGAAUUGUUUAUUUCCACUGAGGAACCUUACGCUGGUACACGAUAGCUCACACUGGCUGACCCACUAGGAAGCCCACAGAUAAGGCACAGAAGCCCAUCUCACUCAAGCCCACAGUCAUGUGGAAGGAAAUGACUGCACGGAUGAUGGUGGCCACCAACAGGCCCUGGUACAGUUCUGACUCUGUUGUCCUGAUCAUUGACAGACUUUAGAGUUGCUACAGGAAAAUAGGUUGAAGAUGCCACUUUGCCUCAGAGUCCUCAAGAAUUCAUGUGAAAUAACUGAGGUGCCCGGCAAGUGUGAAACUGCCGUGCAUUACGAGAGCACUGAAUCCAAUCCAAUUGAAGGUGCUGUGAGCCAGCAAUAGUCCAAGAUCUUAGGUGUCAUUAUAUCUGAUUGAGCAAAAUGCUUGCAGGACGGAAAAGAGGUUUGUUAUCGCCUGGGCGAUCCGUGGAGGAGUCUGUAGAAGAAGUAACAUUCCGGCUUAAUCUUUACAACAAAGAGGAAUUUGUUAGAUCAAGAAGCAAAAGGAAAAAAAAAAAGGAAAAAAAAAGAAGGAGGGAGGAGCUAGGGAGGAGGAUGUUGUGAGGAGAGGAGACAGUAGAGGCAAGAGCAUGGAGAAAAGAGAGUUUAUGAUAGAGACAAUAAGGACAAUUGAAGAAGGAGAAAAGGACCAGACACCCAUAACCCCUGAGGCUGGCAGAUGAGUCUGGGGUCACUGGACCACACUGAGAAGGACCUUGAAUGCUAUGCUAUGUCCUUUGGACUUAAUUCUGUAGGCACUUGGAAGCCACCAAGGGUGACUGCCCCAAGAAUCCAUAAGGACAAAGAGUCUGAACAGGGCCUUUUGCCAUUCUGUUCUUGUGAAGAUCACAAAGUCCCAUGUUCAGAACAUCACAGUCUGUU